rnacentral:rRNA from 1 species
GACGAACGCUGGCGGCGUGCUUAACACAUGCAAGUCGAACGGUGAGUGGUCCAGCUUGCUGGUUCUGGAUGAGUGGCGAACGGGAGAGUAACACGUGGGUAACCUCCCCCCUUCUUCUGGAUAACCGCAUGAAAGUGUGGCUAAUACGGGAUAUUCUGGGUCGGUCGCAUGGCGGGCCCGGGCAAGAUAUUUCUUCGGUGGGGGAUAGGCUCGCGGCCUAUCAGCUUGUUGGUGGGGUGGUGGCCUACCAGGGCGGUGACGGGUAUCCGGCCUGAGAGGGGGAGCGGUUACGAGGGGACUGAGACACGGACUAGGCUUGUGCGGCAGGCAGGAGUCGGGCAUAAUGCACAAGGGGGGAAAGCCUGAUGCAGCGCCGCCGCGUGAGGGAUGGAGGCCUUGGGGUUGUAAACCGCUUUCGCGAGCGAAGCAGGCCUGCCCAUUGUAGAUGGAUUGACGGUAGCUGGAUAAGAAGCGCCGGCUAACUACGUG